UAUAAUAUUUGUGCAGGUAUCUGUGAAAGAUUCGUCACUUAAAAUCUAAAAAUGUCCUUAAAUAUUAUGUGCUGAAGAAUAAUGUUUCUUGUGACGGUUUUUAAGUGAUUCUGUGUUUAUAAUAGUUCUUGUAUCUGUUGGAAAAUAAGAAUCAAAAACGAAGUUGACGUUAGUAUUUUGUACCUAUUAAAAGAAUAUAUGUAAUAGACAUCAGCAUUUUACUUUGAAACUUUAAUGAAUCUGUCAGGAGUGGCUUAACCAGAGUCGAACAGUUACCUACUUUACGGUUAUAGAGUGAAAAAACUGUUUUGUGGAAAUUAUCAGACUCGUUUACCAUGUUGAUGAUUGUGUUUCAUGUUUCAACAACCUCCAAUGGAUAUAAAAAGCUAUACACAUCCUGGUAACAGCAAACUGAAGGAUGAGUCGCUUAUUUCAAGACCCAGAUACAGUCAGAGAAAUAUUUAUAAAUUUUGACAGCAUCUGUUCAGAUGUUGAUGGGGAAAUUACAAUCAGAGAAUUAUGGAGCUGAGAAAUUGAAUCGAUACAUCAAUGAAAUUAACCAGCGUAGAUGAAAUAGUACGAGAAAUAACAAAAUACGUACUCUGAAAACAGGGAUGCAAUUAUUUUCUUGCAAGAUACAUCUGGAAAUAUUCUUAAGGAUUUGUUCAGAAAUCGAUGGAGAAAUUACAACUAAAAAAUUAUAGAGUAAACAAAUUGAAUAGUUUCAUUAAAGAAAUUAACCAGCGUAGAUGAAAUACUAGGAGAAAUAACAAAAUACGUACUCUGAAAACAGGGAUGCAAUUAUUUUCUUGCAAGAUACAUCUGGAAAUAUUCUUAAGCAUUUGUUCAGGCAUUGAUGGGAAAAUUACAACAAAGAAAUUAUGGAGUAGACAAAUUGAGUAGAUACAUUAAAGAACUUAACCAGCGUAGAUGAAAUAGUAGGAGAAAUAACAAAAUACGUACUCUGAAAACAGGGAUGCAAUUACCAUCUUGCAGGAUAUAUCUGGAAAUAUUCUUAAGUAUUUGUUCAGACAUUGAUGGGGAAAUUACACCAAAGAAAUUAUGGAGUAGAAACAUUUGAUAGAUACAAUGAUCAAAUUAUCCAAAGAAGAGGAUUAUUAAAUUAGAUAAACAAAUUAUUUUAUUUCAUCCAAUUAUGCUCCGUUAUUUUUUACUAUUUUUCAGUUAGGUUAUUCAUUGGCGUUUAUUUAUUUUAAUAUUUAAGAAGAUUGUAAAAAUUAUUUAAUAAGUUUGUCUUGCAAAUCAUGGACUACAAAAACAAUGUAACACCAGCAUAUUUUAAGUAAAUAAAUUAAUAGGAGAAAA